rnacentral:misc_RNA from 1 species
AACCAUAGAAACCUGCGGAGUACCUGCGGAGGGAUCAUUACCGAGUUUACAACUCCCAAACCCCUGUGAACAUACCUAUACGUUGCCUCGGCGGAUCAGCCCGCGCCCCGUAAAACGGGACGGCCCGCCCGAGGACCCCUAAACUCUGUUUUUAGUGGAACUUCUGAGUAAAACAAACAAAUAAAUCAAAACUUUUAACAAUGGAUCU